rnacentral:rRNA from 1 species
GAUGAACGCUAGCGACAGGCCUAACACAUGCAAGUCGAGGGGAAGGGCAGCAAUGCCCGAGACCGGCGCACGGGUGCGUAACGCGUAUGUAACCUGCCUUACACCGGGGGAUAGCCUUCCGAAAGGGAGAUUAAUACCGCAUAACACUAUAUUUCAGCAUUGGUUUAUAGUUAAAACUGAGGUGGUGUAAGAUGGGCAUGCGUAUGAUUAGCUAGUUGGGGGGGUAACGGCCCACCAAGGCGACGAUCAUUAGGGGUUCUGAGAGGAAGAUCCCCCACACUGGUACUGAGACACGGACCAGACUCCUACGGGAGGCAGCAGUGAGGAAUAUUGGUCAAUGGGCGGAAGCCUGAACCAGCCAUGUCGCGUGCAGGAAGACUGCCCUAUGGGUUGUAAACUGCUUUUGUAUGGGAAGAACACCAGAUACGAGUAUCUGUCUGCCGGUACCAUACGAAUAAGGAUCGGCUAACUCCGUG